CCUACGGGUGGCAGCAGUGGGGAAUAUUGCACAAUGGGGGAAACCCUGAUGCAGCGACGCCGCGUGAGUGAAGAAGUAUUUCGGUAUGUAAAGCUCUAUCAGCAGGGAAGAAAAUGACGGUACCUGAUUAAGAAGCCACGGCUAACUACGUGCCAGCAGGCGCGGUAAUACGUAGGGGGCCAGGGUUAUCCGGAUUUACUGGGAGUAAAGGGAGCGUAGACGGCAGGACAAGUCUGGAGUGAAAUGUCGGGGCUUAACCCCGGAACUGCAUUUGAAACUGUGCAGCUAGAGUGCAGGAGAGGUAGGUGGAAUUCGUGGUGUAGCGGUGAAAUGCGUAGAUAUCACGAAGAACUCCAGUGGCGAAGGCAGCUUACUGAACUGUAACUGACGUUGAGGCUCGAAAGCGUGGGUAUCAAACAGGAUUAGAUACCCCUGUAGUC
rnacentral:rRNA from 1 species